UGCUGUUUGUAUAAUAAUAGUGCACUUAAGUGAACAGGUCUUAAACACAGUCCCACCUCUAAAUCUUCUUUUUUUUUUUUUUCCCAAUAAAUUUCACAGAGAACACAAUCCUACAUAGGAAUAAGAUUAGCUAUACUAUUUUAUUUUAAAUGCUGCUGGAAAUUAAUCUAUUAUUAGUCUAUUAUCUUCACUAUUUUCAACUAAUUCUCUGCCACAUCAAGUUGAGGGGGAUGCUGUAGCUGUACAAAGCUCUUGUUACCUAUUAUUCACUCUUAAAAAUGGCAAAAUGUUAUUGUCAUUAAAACUACCUUGAAUAUGCACUGCUCCCACCCACCUCUUAUUUCAGCCACUUAAGGAAUGCCUAGUUGUAAGAGUGGAGUUCCACAUUUCAGGGUAGGAUCAUUCCCUAAGGCAGGUCCUCCGUGUUCUUCACAGGGUGGAGGACCUGUGGCAUUACCUUGAACAGCGGAGCUUUGUUAGGCAUUAACAAGAGACUGCACCUGCCUGACUCCUCAGCUAUUUGUUGAUCAGGGAUGGUGGCCUCACCCCUCUCAGUGAAGCCGGUUUUCUGUACGCUAACUUGUACUAACACUGCUAUGGUGUUAGGUGCUGGAUAGUUGCUUUUGCUCCUAUUUAGGAUUUUCCCUUUUCUGAUUAGCCAAAAAUACUAACUUAAUGUGACCCAAACUUACAAAUAGUUUUAGCCCCCUUCAUGUUGCAUUUUUUGCCCGGUUUCAGUUGUUGCAUUUUUGUUGGUUGUUUUUUGGUGGUUAUUUGUUUGUUUUAAAUAGCACACACUGGUUUGACAGUUUGGUAUUCAGUUUGCCUUAUUUAUCCUUAUUACAAAUCUGUAGGCAGGAACUGUGGACAAAAUAUUAAAUAAAAUAAAUUCUCCUGCUACAGAGGGCAAAGAGUAGUACCCAAUUUAAUUACUGCAAAGAGUUGUGAAGCUCCCUUUUUUCUCCCUUUACAAAAGGUACUUGAUUCUUCCUAAAUACUGGCAGUAUGAAGAAUUCCUAUGCAGGGCAGAGGGCUUCUGGCUGAAGGCUGAGGCUGUGAACCAUUCACCAUAAGUAAGGACAUUCAGGAUUUACUGCUGCCAGGAUGAGAAGGGGAUGCCCAGAGGAGAGAGACCUGAUGAGUGAGACAAUAACACCUCUGCCGAGUGAGGGCAAGGU